GAUAAGGACAAACUCUGUACAGACAGCACCCGUAGUCAGGAUCGAACCCACGCCUCUGGCGCUGCUAGGCAGCAACUCAACCACUGCGCCAUCAUGCCACCCUAAUGGGUCUGGAUUGAAAUCAGGUCUUUGUCACUGUGUGGUAACAGCUCUACCGGCUGUGCCAUGUGCCACCCUAUAUAAGAUGAAGACUUAGAUUUAUACAAAAAUAAAUUGCAUUAGACAAAUCAAAUGAAACUUUGUGAAAAAGGUAAUAGAGUACAUGUUAUUAGAAAACACCACUCAUGUUGUGUACAUAAAUGUUAACUUUACAAGAUGCCACAAUGGAGGCUCAUUGAUGAAUUUUAAAGACCUGGCAUUAACAGGGAAAUGGUUAAAGGACACAAAACAGAAUUGAGUUAUUAACAAAUGCUUUGCCAUUUGAAAGAAAGGAAUUACCCUGAAGGUCAAUACUGGAGCAAUUGUUCUCCAGAAAAUGCAAACGAACAGGAAGUAGCAGAAGCUAAGCUUGGCUAAAGGAAUCAGCAAGACAUAUGUAAGCAGAAUGUGUUAGUUUGGCUCAACGCGUUUGGCUGGGAUAAAGACAUUGACAUUUCCUUUUUAAGACAUUGAGGCUUUCAAACCUUGGGAAAAUUGCUGCUCCUGCAAUAAUCAACAAUAAAGCAUCAAACCUAUUCGAGAGAACAAAGAAGAUCAUAAAAUGCAAUUUCUCCCGCUUCUGCUCUGAACCCAGCAGCAAAGAAAUUAGCAAAUGGUCACGGCCUGCGGUUUUAACCCUGGUCCACCUGAAUGGGGAACUGCUCGGCUGGUUGCUACCGUUCUGCAGGAGCAUGCGCUCUUCCUUCUGUGGAAGUGGAAAGAAAUACUUCCAUAUGGCACUUUUCAGAACCGCAUGAGAUGUUCCACUUCCAGUGAAGUUCGUCUGAAGUGUGGGCACAGUUAUGAUGUAGAGAAAUGGAUCACAGUGGGAAGAAAGAAUUCCUGAGUGCAGCGGCCUAAUUAACUCAUCCCUGUAUCCUAACAUUGAGGAGUUGGCGGCCUUUGCUGGAGACCAAUUUCAGGAGCUCCAACAGUGGGAGCCUGCGGGACUUAACAUCAUGGAACUUGCAAUCCCUUUGCAAGGGAUCGACCUUGGAGCUCCAACCGUGGGAGCCUGCGGACUUUAACAUCGUGGAGCUCACGGUUUCUGGUUGGACACCGGCUUCGGGAGCUCCGAGCCGCAGGAGCUUCGACCGCCCCAACACGGGAGCUUCGAUCGACCCGACGCGGAUUCUUCGAUCGCCUUGUCGGAUUGUUUGACUGCCCCGACCGCGGGAGAAAAAUUAGGAUUAGAAGAAGGAUAGGCUUUAUUGCCUUCCAUCACAUUGAGGAAUGUGGGGAAUCUGCUGUGGUGGAUGUUUAUGUUAACGUUUAUAUAGUUGUGUGUCUUGUCACUUUUUUUAGUUAUGACUGUAUGGUAAUAUGAAUAUCACUGUACCUUAAUUGGUACACGUGACAAUAAAAGACCUUUGAAACCUUUGAAGCAAAUAGGCCCUGAUAGUCACCAGUAAAGCAAUAUUUACUGUGAUUCCAGGCGGUGUCACUUUCAGUGACGAUGUUCUCAUUGAAUUGGGGCACACCCUUCUUCAAUGAUUUUGAAGCUAAUGAAAUGGUCCCUGAACACCCUGGCCAAUAAUAGCCAAUUAGUUUUAGUGAAGUUUAGAGAUACAGCAUAGAAACAAGCCCUUUGGCCCACCAAGUCUGCGCCGAUCAGCAAUCACCCCAUACACUAGCACUAUUCUACACCCUAGGGGCAAUUUACAAUUCUUACUGAAGCCAAUUAACAUACAACCAGUACAUCUCUGGAGUGUUAGAGGAAACCGGAGCACCCGGAGAAAACCCAUGCGGUCAUAGGGAGAACAUACAAACUCCGCACAGACAGUACCCAUAGUUAGGAUUCAACCCGAGUCUCUGGCGCUGUAAGGCAGCAACUCAUGCACUGCGUCACCGUGCCACCCUAAUUUUUGCUUAGUAGGUUUCUCCCACUCCUUCUCUUCCCCUCGCACUCCGCAUACCCUCUCCUCAUUUUCCCUGUUGCAUUGCACUGAAGGAGAAUGGCAAAGUUUUUUUUGGCCUUCCAUCACAGCUAUGUGAUGGAUGUUUAUGUAAAAUUGUAAUUAUGUUGUGUCUGGGGUCUAUUUGUGUGUAAUGUAUGGGCGCAGAAACGGCAUUUCGUUUGGACCUCUAGGGGUCCAAAUGACAAUUAAAAUGACAAUUAAAUUGACUCUUGACUCUUAAUGACAGACUACAAAUCCAUAUGUGCCUGAUAGAAACUGACGUGCAAAAGGCCUGUUGGUACAAAUCCUUCAAUUAAAGUCCAAAAUAUAUACUGCACUGUAGACUUUAGCAAGUUUAAACAUUUCUAGAAAAUAUCAAACUCUGUGGAAGCACAUAAAGCAUCUAGUUAGUAGCUAACAUCCAAAAAGAUGACCUUUUAAACAAAGUUAGUGGAAAAUUCCUUCCUAAUACGGAAAUAAUGCUUGGCUGGAUAAGGUUAAGGGGGAGAUUUUAUAACCUGCUUUCCGUACCUAGUUUUAAUGGGUUUCACCUACACUUAUGCUGACACCUUCACCAACAUAGCAAUCAGUAGGACACAAUUAAAAUAUCCAGAUCUGUAAAAUUCUAUGCAACCAAUCCAUCACCAGAAGAGUCGAUUUAACGUAUAACAGACAGCCAGAAAUAUCUAGAAAAUCUCACCACACCCACAAUGUAACCGUACCCCAUAAACAUUCCAAUUUCAUUGUCACUUUGCGCUUCAGUGUGACUGCCACAUUGGACGUGAGCAAAAUGAUAGCAUGAUAUAAUUUACCAUGUAACACUUAAGUUGUUUUGCAAGGGAAUUGAGACCGCAUUGCCUUUGGAGGACCCACUGUUUGACGGCUGCAACUCUACUCUGGGCCAUCAGCUAGGUAGGUACAUCCUUACUUUUCUCCUUUCCUCCCAAACCACCCUCAUAUGCAACCCCUCUGUAAAGCUCUCUGCAACCGCUUCAAUCAACCCCCACCAAUCCCAAUUCCCAAACUCCCAUCUCCUAAACACCCGUCACCACUAAUCUCCUAAACUCUGGACCAGUUUGCAAUUAACUGAAUCCUUCGCCCCAAUUUGAUGUCCCCAUUCAAUGACCCCACCAGUCCCAGACAUCCCCUCCAAUUGGCCCAGCCAGUGCUGGAUACACCAUCUUAUAUAUAACCAUAUAACCAUAUAACAAUUACAGCACGGAAACAGGCCAUCUCGACCCUUCUAGUCCGUGCCGAACACGUAUUCUCCCCUAGUCCUAUAUACCUGCGCUCAGACCAUAACCCUCCAUUCCUUUCUCGUCCAUAUAACUAUCCAAUUUAUUUUUAAAUGAUAAAAACGAACCUGCCUCCACCACCUUCACUGGAAGCUCGUUCCACACAGCCACCACUCUCUGAGUAAAGAAGUUCCCCCUCAUGUUACCCCUAAACUUCUGUCCCUUAAUUCUCAAGUCAUGUCCCCUUGUUUGCAUCUUCCCUCCUCUCAGUGGGAAAAGCUUUUCCAUGUCAACUCUGUCUAUCCCUCUCAUCAUUUAAAAGACCUCUAUCUUAAGAUAAAGAAGUCCCCCCUUAACCUUCUGCGCUCCAAAGAAUAAAGCCCUAACUUGUUCAACCUUUCUCUGUAACUUAGUUGCUGAAACCCAGGCAACAUUCUAGUAAAUCUCCUCUGUACUCUCUCUAUUUUGUUGACAUCCUUCCUAUAAUUAGGCGACCAAAAAUUGUACA